rnacentral:rRNA from 1 species
AUACGUAGGGGGCAAGCGUUAUCCGGAAUUAUUGGGCGUAAAGCGUGCGUAGGUGGUUACCUAAGCGCAAGGUUUAAUCUUGAGGCUCAACCUCAUUCUGCCUUGCGAACUGGGCUACUUGAGUGCUGGAGGGGAAAGCGGAAUUCCUAGUGUAGCGGUGAAAUGCGUAGAUAUUAGGAAGAACACCGGUGGCGAAGGCGGCUUUCUGGACAGUAACUGACACUGAGGCACGAAAGCGUGGGGAGCAAACAGGAUUAGAUACCCUGGGAGUCCACGCCGUAAACGAUGAGCACUAGUUGUUGGGUCCGAAUGGAUUCAGUGACGCAGUUAACGCAAUAAGUGCUCCGCCUGGGGAGUACGGUGGCAACACUAAAACUCAAAUGAAUCGGCGGGG